rnacentral:rRNA from 1 species
UACAGAGGCCCCGAGCGUUAAUCGGAAUCACUGGGCUUAAAGGGUGCGCAGGCGGACCGGAAAGUGUCCUGUGAAAUCCCCCGGCUCAACCGGGGAACAGCAGGGCAAACUGCCGGUCUUGAGACAGGUAGGGGUCGAUGGAACCAUGGGUGGAGCGGUGAAAUGCGUAGAUAUCCAUGGGAACGCCAAUGGCGAAGGCAGUCGACUGGGCCUGUUCUGACGCUCAGGCACGAAAGCGUGGGGAGCAAACAGG